AGGUUACCGCCGAGAGGCCGCGUCCUCAGCUGGUCCUAGACAUGCGUGGCGUCGGGGCUGUGGCACGGUCGGGUCCGGGCUUGAAUGCACCAAGGAAAGGCCAUUUGUGGGGACAUAGCAAGAAGGCAGCUGUCUGCAAGCCAGGAGGAGAACCCUCACCAGAAACCUCACAGAAAUCGGCCAACACCCUCAUCUCGGGCUUCCAGCUUCAGAACAACGAGAAAACAAAUUUCUGUUGUGUCCUGGUUCCCAUUUGUAAUUGGCACCCUAAUGAAACCGUUUUCUGUAGCCCUGGAAAUGGCUGAAAAUGAGGGGAGGGAAAUAAAGUGCUAUAAUUCAGAGCAUGGAGCACACCUUCCUGGUUCACCUGAGCUGGAUUCGGAGAGGUAAAAUGGCCAUUACCUCGUCUAAGCUGCCACUUACAGACACAGUACAGGAUGAGGCCCAGACCCACAGAGACAACGAUGAUGGCCACAGCUAAGAUGAUCCAGAAAUUAUUCCUCCACCAGCUCAUUGCAGUGGAAUCCUGAGAAGAAUGGAGAGAGAAGAAUGAGGUUAUGCUGUGGUGUCGCCUUUUGUUACCAUCAAACCUCCAAUAAAACUGCAUAACACGGCCAGGUGCGGUGGCUCACGCCUGUAAUCCCAGCACUUUGGGAGGCUGAGGAGGGCAGAUCACUUCAGGUCAGGAGUUCAAGACCAGCCUGGCCAACAUGGCGAAACCCUGUCUCUACUAAAAAUACAAAAAUUAGCUGGGUGUGGUGGCACAUGCCUGUAGUCCCAGCUACUCAGGAGGCUGAGGCGGGAGAAUUGCUUAAAGCCAGGAAGCAGAGGUGGCAGUAAGCCGAGAUCACGCCACUACAUUCCAGCCUGGACAACAGAGCAAGACUCCAUCUCAAAACAAAAGCAAAGGCUGGGUGCAGUGGCUCACGCCUGUAAUCUCAUAACUUUGGGUGGCUGAGGCAGGCGGAUCACAUGAGGUCAGGAGUUCGAAACCAGCUUGGCCAUCAUGGUGAAACCCCUUCUCUACUAAAAAUACAAAAAAUUAGCUGGGCAUGGUGGUGCACGCCUGUAAUCCCAGCUACUUGAGAGACUGAGGCAAGAGAAUUGCUUGAACCUGGGAGUCAGAGGUUGCGGUGAGCCGAGGUUGUGCCAUUGCACUCCAGCCUGGGCAACAAGAGCGAGAUUCCAUCUGAAAAAAAAAAAAAAACACCGAUCUCAAAGAGGGAGUUGUGAGAACCCCAACUUGAAGCUGGUUGCUCUCAAGUUCCAGAGGCCCGGACUUGCGACUGACGUCUGGGGAGUUGGGGGCAGCAGUCUUGGGAACUGAGCUGUGAGAUCUGAUACUAUCUCUGGGUCUAUAGUGCUGGCAUUGAAUUGGAGAACACCCAGCUGGUGUUCACUGCUUGGUGUGUGGCGGAAAAACCCUCACACAUUUGGUCACAGAAGCCCUUUUCUGUGUUGGUGAUUGUUGUGCUGGUGUGAGAACAGAGGAAAAACACCGCUUGCAGAGUUUUUCCUGAAACAAUACUCUUUAGAGCGAUAGAAAUAAAUACCACGACCUGCGCAUUCAAAGCUGUUGUAUCUGGAUUGUGACUGCGUGGAAGGUCGAGGCGGGAAGACAGGGGCUGUUGCUUUUCGUUAUAAACUCUGCAUUACUUGAUUUUUGCACUACGUACAUUUACUUUGAUAACACUGGAAAGAAUAAAUUGGCCAUGUAGUGUAGCUUCCAAAAAAAACUAUUGCUUGGGUUUCAAGGUCAAGGAAAUUUCAUUCUCAUCAGUUUCUUGGGAAAGAGGAAGUGGAAUGAUGUUGUCAGAAAGUGAAACCAUGGGUCAUUUUCAGAACUACUCAGAGUAAUAAAUAUUUUUUGUCAGUUUUGUUCUUACAAGUGAAAUGGACCGCAGAGAGGCACUUUUUCUUUUCUUUUUUCUUUCUUUCUUUUUUUUUUUUUUGAGAUGAAGUCUCGCUCUUGUACCCCAGGCUGGAGUGCGAUGGCGUGAUCUCGGCUCACUGCACCCUCCACCUCUCCAGUUCAAGCGAUUCUUCUGCCUCAGCCUCUCCAGUAGCUGCGAUUACAGGUGUGUGCCACCAUGCC
rnacentral:lncRNA from 1 species